rnacentral:sRNA from 1 species
UAAACAAGAGCGGGGACGGCAUGAGGCGGCGGUUGAUCCCAGGGUGGCGAGUGGCGGCGACCGAGGCGGCGAGCGGGGCCCGGCGCCGACCCUGAGUGCAGCCUGACCCGCCCUCGCGCGUGCGCCCUCCCCGGCCGGGCCCACUCGCCGCGCGCCCAGCCAUGAACCUGGCGAGCCAGAGCGGGGAGGCCGGCGCCGGCCAGCUGCUCUUCGCCAACUUCAACCAGGACAACACAGAAGUGAAAAGGGCAUCAAGAGCAGCUGGUCUUGGCCGUCGCGCUGUUGUCUGGUUAGUUCCAACCCUGGUUUCUGAAAGUAUCACCUUGGAAGGCUUAUGUUAGAGGACUUUUUUGGCUUUUUGAAAUUGAAGUGAACCAGUUAAUAAGUGGCAGAGGAUCACUUGAAUCUGAAAUGGAAAUAUCAAGGACUACAUUUUUCCAGUGGACACCACAGCUUGUGGGAAGUCCCUAGCUGUUGGUAGUAAGUCCGGUUAUAAAUUUUUCUCCCUUUCUUCUGUGGAUAAGCUGGAACAGAUCUAUGAAUGCACCGAUACGGAAGAUGUGUGCAUCGUAGAGAGAUUGUUCUCCAGCAGCCUAGUGGCCAUUGUGAGCCUUAAAGCACCAAGGAAGCUAAAGGUUUGCCACUUUAAGAAGGGAACUGAGAUCUGCAACUACAGCUACUCCAACACGAUUCUGGCUGUGAAGCUCAACAGGCAGAGGCUGAUAGUAUGCCUGGAGGAGUCCCUGUACAUUCACAACAUUCGGGACAUGAAGGUGCUGCAUACGAUCAGGGAGACGCCUCCAAACCCUGCAGGCCUGUGUGCGCUGUCAAUCAACAACGACAACUGCUACUUGGCGUACCCAGGGAGCGCGACCAUCGGAGAGGUGCAGGUCUUCGAUACCAUUAAUUUGAGAGCUGCAAACAUGAUUCCGGCUCACGACAGUCCUUUAGCGGCAUUGGCCUUUGACGCAAGUGGAACUAAACUUGCCACGGCUUCGGAGAAGGGGACCGUGAUUAGGGUAUUUUCCAUUCCAGAAGGACAAAAACUCUUUGAGUUUCGGAGAGGAGUGAAGAGGUGCGUGAGCAUCUGCUCCCUGGCCUUCAGCAUGGACGGCAUGUUCCUCUCCGCCUCCAGCAACACUGAGACCGUGCACAUCUUCAAACUCGAAACUGUGAAAGAAAAACCCCCAGAGGAGCCCACCACCUGGACUGGGUACUUUGGGAAAGUGCUCAUGGCCUCCACCAGCUACCUGCCUUCCCAAGUGACAGAAAUGUUCAACCAGGGCAGAGCCUUCGCCACGGUCCGCCUGCCAUUCUGCGGCCACAAAAACAUCUGCUCGCUCGCCACAAUUCAGAAGAUCCCACGGUUGUUGGUGGGUGCCGCCGACGGGUACCUGUACAUGUACAACCUGGACCCCCAGGAGGGUGGCGAAUGCGCCCUGAUGAAGCAGCACCGGCUGGACGGCAGUCUGGAAACGACCAAUGAGAUCCUGGACUCUGCCUCUCACGACUGCCCCUUAGUCACUCAGACAUACGGCGCAGCUGCAGCAAAAGGUACUUACGUGCCUUCAUCCCCAACGAGACUUGGCUACACAGACGACCUGGGUGCUGUGGGUGGCGCCUGCCUGGAGGAUGAGGCCAGUGCCCUGCGCCUGGAUGAGGACAGCGAGCACCCACCCAUGAUUCUUCGGACUGACUGA